rnacentral:rRNA from 1 species
GUGCUAAUACAUGCAAGUCGAGCGAAUGGAUUAAGAGCUUGCUCUUAUGAAGUUAGCGGCGGACGGGUGAGUAACACGUGGGUAACCUGCCCAUAAGACUGGGAUAACUCCGGGAAACCGGGGCUAAUACCGGAUAACAUUUUGAACCGCAUGGUUCGAAAUUGAAAGGCGGCUUCGGCUGUCACUUAUGGAUGGACCCGCGUCGCAUUAGCUAGUUGGUGAGGUAACGGCUCACCAAGGCAACGAUGCGUAGCCGACCUGAGAGGGUGAUCGGCCACACUGGGACUGAGACACGGCCCAGACUCCUACGGGAGGCAGCAGUAGGGAAUCUUCCGCAAUGGACGAAAGUCUGACGGAGCAACGCCGCGUGAGUGAUGAAGGCUUUCGGGUCGUAAAACUCUGUUGUUAGGGAAGAACAAGUGCUAGUUGAAUAAGCUGGCACCUUGACGGUACCUAACCAGAAAGCCACGGCUAACUACGUGCCAGCAGCCGCGGUAAUACGUAUGUGGCAAGCGUUAUCCGGAAUUAUUGGGCGUAAAGCGCGCGCAGGUGGUUUCUUAAGUCUGAUGUGAAAGCCCACGGCUCAACCGUGGAGGGUCAUUGGAAACUGGGAGACUUGAGUGCAGAAGAGGAAAGUGGAAUUCCAUGUGU